CCUACGGCGGACAGCAGUGGGGGAUAUUGCACAAUGGGGGGAACCCUGAUGCAGCGACGCCGCGUGGGUGAAGGAGUGCUUCGGCAUGUAAAGCCCUAUCGGCAGGGAAGAAGCAAGACGGUACCUGACUAAGAAGCCCCGGCUAACUACGUGCCAGCAGCCGCGGUAAUACGUAGGGGGCGAGCGUUAUCCGGAUCCACUGGGUGUAAAGGGAGCGUAGACGACCAUGCAAGCCAGGGGUGAAAGCCCGGGGACCAACCCCGGGACUGCCCUUGGAACUGCAUGGCUGGAGUGCGGGAGGGGCAGGCGGAAUUCCUGGUGUAGCGGUGAAAUGCGUAGAUAUCAGGAGGAACACCGGCGGCGAAGGCGGCCUGCUGGACCGCGACUGACGUUGAGGCUCGAAAGCGUGGGGAGCGAACAGGAUUAGAUACCCGGGUAGUC
rnacentral:rRNA from 1 species